rnacentral:rRNA from 1 species
GACAAUAGCAAGAGUGAACCACCUGAUCCCUUCCCGAACUCAGAAGUGAAACCUCUUAGCGCUGAUGGUAGUGUGGGAUUACCCAUGUGAGAGUAAGUCAUCGCCAGCU